rnacentral:rRNA from 1 species
UACGUAGGGUGCGAGCGUUAAUCGGAAUUACUGGGCGUAAAGCGUGCGCAGGCGGUUUUGUAAGCCGGAUGUGAAAUCCCCGGGCUUAACCUGGGAAUGGCAUUCGGGACUGCAAGGCUGGAGUGCGGCAGAGGAGACUGGAAUUCCUGGUGUAGCAGUGAAAUGCGUAGAUAUCAGGAGGAACACCGAUGGCGAAGGCAGGUCUCUGGGCUGACACUGACGCUCAUGCACGAAAGCGCGGGGAGCAAACAGG